rnacentral:rRNA from 1 species
GACGAACGCUGGCGGCGUGCCUAACACAUGCAAGUCGAGCGAAGUGCUUUAAGUGGAAUCCUUCGGGAUAAAACUUGAAGCACUUAGCGGCGGACGGGUGAGUAAUACGUGAGGAACCUACCUCCCACAAGGGGAUAGCCUCGGGAAACCGGGAUUAAUACCCUAUGACACUUAAGAGUCGCAUGAUACUUAGGUUAAAGCGCUUUAGCGGUGGGAGAUGGCCUCGCGUCCCAUUAGCUAGUUGGUGAGGUAACGGCUCACCAAGGCGACGAUGGGUAGCCGGCCUGAGAGGGUGACCGGCCACACUGGGACUGAGACACGGCCCAGACUCCUACGGGAGGCAGCAGUGGGGAAUAUUGCACAAUGGGCGAAAGCCUGAUGCAGCGACGCCGCGUGAGCGAAGAAGGCCUUCGGGUCGUAAAGCUCUGUCCUAUGGGAAGAUAAUGACGGUACCAUAGGAGGAAGCCCCGGCUAACUACGUGCCAGCAGCCGCGGUAAUACGUAGGGGGCGAGCGUUGUCCGGAAUGACUGGGCGUAAAGGGUACGUAGGCGGCUGAGUAAGUCAGGUGUGAAAGUCUAGGGCUCAACCCUAGUGAGCACUUGAAACUGCUUGGCUUGAGUCGAGGAGAGGAAGGUGGAAUUCCUGGUGUAGCGGUGAAAUGCGUAGAUAUCAGGAGGAAUACCAGUGGCGAAGGCGACCUUCUGGCCUUGGACUGACGCUGAGGUACGAAAGCGUGGGGAGCAAACA